rnacentral:sRNA from 2 species
CGCCCGUCAAACCACGAAAGUUAACAAUACCCAAAACCGGUGGCCUAACCAUUUAUGGAGGGAGCCGUCUAAGGUAGGGUUGAUGAUUGGGGUUAAGUCGUAACAAGGUAUCCGUACCGGAAGGUGCGGAUGGAUCACCUCCUUUCUAAGGAGUAAAACUAAAAUUACAAUCAAUAUACAUUCUCAUCAUAUUCAGUUUUGAAGGAUUUUCCUUCUAAUAUAAGUAAGAUCUUUGAAAAGUAGAUAAAUUCUGUCGUAACAAAUAAUAUAAAAAAGACAAAAGGUUAAGGAAAAAAGGGCGCACAGUGGAUGCCUUGGCACUAAGAGCCGAUGAAGGACGCAACUAACGGCGAAACGCCACGGGGAGCAGUAAGUAUGUACCGAUCCGUGGAUAUCCGAAUGGGGGAACCCGGCAUGUUGGAGACAUGUCACUUGUGAAAACAAGAGGGAACGCAGGGAAUUGAAAUAUCUUAGUACCUGCAGGAAAAGAAAGUAAUAACGAUUCUGCUAGUAGCGACGAGCGAACGCGGAGGAGCCCGAUACAAUAACAGUUACAAAACUAUUAAUGAGAAGAAUAAUUUGGGAAGGUUAACCAAAGAAGGUGAAAGUCCUGUAAUCGAAAUUAAUAGACUGGUGUAUCAAAGAGUACGGCGAGACACGAGAAAUCUUGCUGGAACGAAUAAGGAGGACCAUCUCCUAAGGCUAAAUACUACUUAGUGACCGAUAGUGAACCA